CGGGGCGUAGCGCAGUCUGGUAGCGCACCUGCCUUGGGCGCAGGGGGUCGGAGGUUCAAAUCCUCUCGCCCCGACCA
rnacentral:tRNA from 1 species